AAGAAGAGUAAGCCCAGCCCCUCGUCCUUCCACCCACCCCCACCCUCCAUCCUCCAUCCCCUCUGCUGCAGUCUAGAGGUUGGGCUCACAGACAGGAGUCAGAGGAAGACUCUUCAUGCUCAGGCUCGGCGUCCCAGCCCUGAAGACCGUGCCGCACGGUCAGAGGUGCCGGAUAUUCGGACCAAACGCUGUCGUUCAGAGGAGCUGAGGUACAGAGGAAGAAAGACGCCCAGACGAUGAGCAGAGGAAGACCAUGCUGUGGGCCCGGCCGUGCUUGAUGAAGGUGAACUAUGACCCUGGAGCUGCUUGCACUGACGUUUAAAGCUUGGACCGUGUUUUGUCCCCCCGACAUGGAAAAUGUGUUCCAGAAGUAAUUAUCCGGAGAUACGGAGGUGGAACCUAGCGCCUGGCCUGCUGUUUCUCCACAGAGUGGAGUGUUGGAGUUGGCGGACGGUUGCCGAUGAUAAUGGCGGAAAUGGAUUGCAGGUAUGUGUGAGCACCGAGCUGCUCUGUUUGGCUGUUUCAGGCACAGAGGCAACACUGUUCUCAGCUCUGAGGCGGGGUGCUGUACACGGAAAGGGAAAUUCAUUUAUGUUUUUUAUUAUUUUUUUUUUUUGUCUGAGGGUUUUGUCUGAGAGUACAAACUAAAAA